CUUUGAAGUUUGCCGCUACCCAAUCAUCAAAGAAUAGCGGCUCUUUCAGAAGCGAAAGCAAAUCCUUUGAAUCCACAAAGCUCCUAUGGCCCCCUUACCGCCUGGAGACCCUCGCAUUGGAUGCUCGAGACACUGGAUCCCCUCCCCCACCUUUUUUUUUGUUGCAAUUAAGGAUUUGUAGCAGAGCCCUAAA